AGGGCACCACCAGGAGUGGAGCCUGCGGCUUAAUUUGACUCAACACGGGAAAACUCACCCGGCCCGGACACUGGAAGGAUUGACAGAUUGAGAGCUCUUUCUUGAUUCAGUGGGUGGUGGUGCAUGGCCGUUCUUAGUUGGUGGAGCGAUUUGUCUGGUUAAUUCCGAUAACGAACGAGACUCUAGCCUACUAAAUAGAUCGGUGGGCUUACAAACGCCAAUGAGACUUCCUUAGAGGGACAGGCGGGCGAUUUCAGCCGGCACGAAACAAAAGCAAUAACAGUCCUGGUGAUGCCCUUAGAAUGUCCCGGGGCCGCACCGCCCCCUUCACUGGGAUUGUCCAGCGGGAAUCUUCACCCUACUUUUGCAAGAAUGGGGAAAACCAAUGAACCUUUUUGUGGUUUGGGAAUAGAGGGUUGUAAUUUUUUUUCUUGAAACGGGAAAUUUCCAUAAGACGGGGGUCAAAGUUUGCGUUUGUUAAGCUCCUUGCCUUUUUAAAAAGGGCGUGGGUUUUAAGAU
rnacentral:rRNA from 1 species